rnacentral:rRNA from 1 species
CUACGGGGGGCUGCAGUAAGGAAUAUUGCGCAAUGGAGGCAACUCUGACGCAGCCAUGCCGCGUGCAGGACUGAAGGCCUUAUGGGUCGUAAACUGCUUUUAUUUAGGAAUAAACUCUUGUACGUGUACGGGACUGAAGGUACUAAAUGAAUAAGCACCGGCUAACUCCGUGCCAGCAGCCGCGGUAAUACGGAGGGUGCAAGCGUUAUCCGGAUUUAUUGGGUUUAAAGGGUGCGCAGGCGGACUAUUAAGUCAGAGGUGAAAUCCCGGAGCUCAACUUCGGAACUGCCUUUGAUACUGGUAGUCGUGAAUACGGUUGAAGUAGGCGGAAUGUAGCAUGUAGCGGUGAAAUGCAUAGAGAUGCUACAGAACACCGAUCGCGAAGGCAGCUUACUAAGCCGAUAUUGACGCUCAGGCACGAAAGCGUAGGGAGCGAACAGGAUUAGAUACCCUGGUAGUC